AUUGAACGCUGGCGGCAUGCUUUACACAUGCAAGUCGAACGGUAACAGGCCGCAAGGUGCUGACGAGUGGCGAACGGGUGAGUAAUGCAUCGGAACGUGCCCAGUCGUGGGGGAUAACGCAGCGAAAGCUGUGCUAAUACCGCAUACGAUCUGUGGAUGAAAGCGGGGGACCGAAAGGCCUCGCGCGAUUGGAGCGGCCGAUGUCAGAUUAGGUAGUUGGUGGGGUAAAGGCUCACCAAGCCAACGAUCUGUGGCUGGUCUUAGAGGACGACCAGCCAGACUGGGAAUGAGACACGGCCCAGACUCCUACGGGAGGCAGCAGUGGGAAAUUUUGGACAAUGGGCGCAAGCCUGAUCCAGCAAUGCCGCGUGCAGGAAGAAGGCCUUCGGGUUGUAAACUGCUUUUGUACGGAGCGAAAAGGCUCUCUCUAAUACAGGGGGCUCAUGACGGUACCGUAAGAAUAAGCACCGGCUAACUACGUGCCAGCAGCCGCAGUAAAAC
rnacentral:rRNA from 1 species